UUCAAUCAUAUGUAGCCAGAUGGGUGCAGCCACCGGGUUACUCAGGAAAAUCUGACCUAGUGAACUCUUCAAAGAACUUUUCCAGAAGGAAUUUUCCAGAGGCAGGUGGGAAAAGAUGGAUAAAGCAAAGACCGAUUCUUUUCCUCUGAGCUACUGGGGAAGCCCAGGACCUGAAGAACCCAGGCUGAAUCCAACGACUGUUACUCAGAGUUCCUGCUUCAUCUGCAUGAAAGCCAUCUCUUUCCCUCAUAGUCUAGCCACACCAAACAGGAUGAAGAUUCAUGUCACCCUCCCUCUGUGUCCUAGAGGAGGGAAGGGACUCAGAAUUAACCUCUAAAAGGUGUUUAAUCCUGAGACAUAGGCAUUGUUAUUCCCAAUGUACAGAUAUGAAAUUGAAAGCCAAAAAGAUGCAUCCAGGAUCUUAGUUCCCCAACCAGGAAUCGAACCUGAGUCUCCUGAAGUGGAAGUGAGGAAUCUUAACCACUGGACCAUCAGGGGAGUCCGGCAAGCAUUUAUUAUUGCCCUGGAGCCUAUGGGUGUUUCCUCUGGUCUCAGCUGGGUUCAGUCAUGCAUCUGCAGUCAUCUGGAUAAAGGCUCUCCUGAAGUUGGAUGGAUUCCCUCAAGAUUGGGGACUGGCUGUAGGCUCUCUCUUGUGUGGUUUAAGACAGCCUUGGUUCUUCUCCAUGUUUCUGUGACAUACCUCCAGCAGGGUCACCCACGCUUAUUUACAGCAAAAGCCAGGGGACAAUAAAGAGAACAAAAGCCUACAAGAUGCACCAUCUCUUCUGUUACAUUCUAUUAGCCAAAGCAAGUACAUAGCCAGUUCAGAUGCCCAGAUUGGGAAAUAGCCUCCACCUUUUAUGGGAAGAAGCUCCAAAGUCAUAUUACAAAGGACACAGGCACAUAAGGGGCUCAAAAACUGUAACCAUUUUUGCAAUAGACCAACCACAUCCAGGUCACUAUGUUGUUAACAUUUUUCAUGUUAUUGUCACAGUAAUCUAAGGAAGUAUAUAGUAUUAGCUACAUUUCACUGAAAACAAAGGACCAGAGAGAUCCAGAGGAUAUAAAAUGGUUGCAAAUGAUAUAUAGGGACAGGCUACAGGUACAGUUUGCCAAUAAAUAUUUUAACUUAAGUGAGAGCAGAAAAUGCGGUCAUUACCAGUUUGUCAGUGAGACUGUAUUGAAGCAU